UCCGAGUCGACCCCGGCAGUCUCCUACGAGUCCCCGGCCGAACCGCUGGCAACAUAGGACAGGGGUUGCGCUCGUUGCGCCACUUAAGGCAACACCUCACGGCACGAGCUGACGACAGCCAUGCACCACCUGUACAGGCUCCGAAGAGCGCCCGCUUUCACGGGUUUCACCCUGCAUGUCAAACCCAGGUAAGGUUCUUCGCGUCGCAUCGAAUUAAGCCGCAUGCUCCGCCGCUUGUGCGGGGCCCCGUCAAUUCCUUUGAGUUUUAGCCUUGCGGCCGUACUCCCCAGGCGGGGCACUUAAUGCGUUAGCUUCGGCACGGAACCCGUCGAUAGAGCCCCACACCUAGUGCCCAACGUUUACGGCGUGGACUAC
rnacentral:misc_RNA from 1 species